GUGCAGGCCUAUCCAGCAAGGCAGAACCAAUGGUGGCUCUGUCCUUUCCUGUGGAUCCUGCUAGAAUCACGUGAGGUGGUUUGAGGCCCUGCCAUGCUCUGUCCAUGGCAAGGUUAUAGAGACUUCAGACACUC